ACAUUAUAGUGGGCAAUCCUUACGUGUUCCUCUUUUGGGGAGAUGGAUUAGAGCAUGAUGCUUCGAGUCGCCUUAGCCUGUGACUGUGACUCUGUGUAAUCAGGACUUAGAACGUUCUGAUUCCUCUUACCUGAU